GCAACCCGGCGAGAAGCACGCGCCCCAUCGACGUGCAGAACGCCGGAAUGCGGCUUCCGGUGAUCAGUCCUCGGCGCAGCACGCUCGUGACUUCGGCACGUGCGAUAUAGAGAACGUCUGCGCCGUCCAGCACCGAGAUGGCGACGACCUCGUCAACCUUGCGGGAGAGGGUCUCGAUCACCGGCUGCGCCACCUCGCGCAGCGACAGCGACGACAGAUAUGCAAAACCCAACUGGAGAAUGCGCGGCGUCAGCA
rnacentral:misc_RNA from 1 species